rnacentral:lncRNA from 1 species
CCCCCAUGUUUUCCUUUAGUAGUUUUAUAGUUUGAGGCACUAUAUUUUAUUUCUAAAUUUAUUUCUAAGAUGGUCCAAUUACUAUAGGAAGUUAGUUUGAGAUGAAUUAUUACUAUGACAGUAAGAAAGUUUUCAUAGAUUAAAAUAUACAUAAUUGACAUUCGUUCUUUUUCCUUUUACAACUAGUAGGUGUUGUUUAAUAAGAAUAGCUUCUAUAAGCGUUGUUCUUUUAUUCCAUUA